rnacentral:rRNA from 1 species
GACGAACGCUGGCGGCGUGCUUAACACAUGCAAGUCGAACGAAGUGGCGAGCGGGUGAGUAAUACGUGGGUAACCUGCCCUCCUUUUUGGGAUAAGCCUUGGAAACGGGGUCUAAUACCGAAUAAAGGGGGAUGGGCUCGCGGCCUAUCAGCUUGUUGGGGGGGUGAUGGCCUACCAAGGCGGUGACGGGUAGCCGGUCUGAGAGGAUGAACGGCCAAAUUGGGACUGAGACACGGCCCAGACUCCUACGGGAGGCAGCAGUGGGGAAUCUUCCGCAAUGGACGAAAGUCUGACGGAGGAACGCCGCGUGAGUGAUGACGGCCUUCGGGUUGUAAAGCUCUGUUAAUCGGGACGCGGUACCGGAAUAGAAAGCCACGGCUAACUACGUGCCAGCAGCCGCGGUAAUAC